UAAAUGUCACCUACUGACCUCAGAGUU
rnacentral:piRNA from 1 species